GUUAAGCUAUUAAGUGCUUAUGGUGGAUGCCUUGGCACCAAGUGCCGAUGAAGGACGUGGGACACUGCGAAAAGCCUCGGGUAGCCGUGUACAGGCUUUGAUCCGAGGAUGUCCGAAUAGGGAAACCUGCUGCGGCGAACCCGCAGCGUCCGCUUACUGAACACAUAGGUUUGCGGACGGCAACCUGGGGAACUGAAACAUCUUAGUACCCAGAGGAAAAGAAAUCAACGAGAUUCCCUUAGUAGUGGCGAGCGAACGGGGACCAGCCCAAACCGCCUUUUGGCGGGGUUGUAGGACUGGCAUACGGAUUGGAACGGUUAGCAGAAAGGUGUGGGAAAGCCUACCAUAGAGGGUGAUAGUCCCGUAAGCGAAAACCGUGAAAAUCUAGCCAGUAUCCUGAGUACCACCGGACCCGUGUAAUCCGGUGGGAAUCCGGGGAGACCACUCUCCAAGGCUAAAUACACUUGGUGACCGAUAGUGAACAAGUACCGUGAGGGAAAGGUGAAAAGCACCCCGGUGAGGGGAGUGAAAUAGAACCUGAAACCAUAAGCUUACAACCGGUCGGAGGGCUAAUAGUUGGUCUGUGUCCCUAGGAGACUAGGUGAUGCGCAGCUAGGCCUGACGGCGUGCCUUUUGGAGAAUGAGCCUGCGAGUUAAUCUUUGUGGCAAGGCUAAGCGAGAUAACACGCGUAACCGCAGCGAAAGCGAGUCUGAAUAGGGCGUACAGUCGCAAGGAUUAGACACGAAACCUGGUGAGCUACCCAUGGACAGGGUGAAGCGAGUUUAACCGCUCGUGGAGGCCCGAACCUUUAGACGUUGCAAAGUCUUGGGAUGAGCUGUGGGUAGAGGUGAUAUGCCAAACGAACCAGGAGAUAGCUUGUUCUCCCCGAAAUAGCUUUAGGGCUAGCGUUAUGCGUUUAGUACUGGAGGUAGAGCACUGGAUGGGCGCGGGGGCUUACUGCUUACCAACCUCAACCAAACUCCGAAUGCCAGUACUCCAAAGCAUAGCAGUCGGACUACGGGAGAUGAGUUUCGUAGUCGAGAGGGAAACAGCCCAGACCAUCAGCUAAGGUCCCCAAGUCUACACUAAGUGGGAAACGAUGUGAGAUUACUGAGACAACCAGGAGGUUCGCUUAGAAGCAGCUAUCCUUUAAAAAGUGCGUAACAGCUUACUGGUCAAGUGAUCUUGCGCGGAAAAUGUAACGGGGCUAAGUGUAGCACCGAAGCUAUGGGUUUUAACUUAUCGUUAAAGCAGUAGGGGAGCGUUCCAUUUGCAGGGAAGGUCGACCGUGAGGACGGCUGGAGCGGAUGGAAGUGAGAAUGCAGGCAUGAGUAGCGCAAAACAUGUGAGAAUCAUGUUCGCCGUAAAUCUAAGGUUUCCGACGGCAGGUCAAUCCGCGUCGGGUUAGUCGGGCCUUAGCCGAGGCCGAGAGGCGUAGGCGAUGGACAUCCGGUCAACAUUCCGGAACCAUUCAAACGGAGCGAUGGGGGGACGCAGCGAGGUAGGCUAUGCCAGGUAUUUGGUAGUCCUGGCCUAAGUGUGUAGGCGUUGAGGCCUGUAGGUAAAUCCGCAGGCUGAGCUGAGGCACGAAUGCGAGCCAUUAAGGCGAAGUAGUUGAGCCUUGCUGCCAAGAAAAGCCUCUAAGCUAUGAUGUUUGAGUGUCCGUACCGCAAACCGACACUGGUAGAUGGGUAGAGAAUACCAAGGCGAACGGGAGAACCCUCGUUAAGGAACUAGGCAAAUUGACCCCGUAACUUCGGGAGAAGGGGUGCCUCCGUGUGUGAAAAUUAUUCUAUUGGAGCACAUGGAGGUCGCAGUGACAAGGCUCUGGCGACUGGUUAACAAAACCACAGGUCUCUGCUAAGUCGUAAGACGAUGUAUAGGGGCUGACGCCUGCCCGGUGCCGGAAGGUUAUGCGGAGGGGUUAGCGCAAGCGAAGCUCUGAAGCGAAGCCCCGGUGAACGGCGGCCGUAACUAUAACGGUCCUAAGGUAGCGAAAUUCCUUGUCGGGUAAGUUCCGACCCGCACGAAUGGCGUAACGACUGGAGCACUGUCUCAACGAGGGACCCGGUGAAAUUGAAGUACGAGUAAAGAUGCUCGUUACCCGCAGCAGGACAAAAAGACCCCGUGGAGCUUUACUGCAGCUUGGCAUUGGGUUACGGCUUAAACUGUGUAGCAUAGGUGGGAGGCUUUGAAGCUGGGGCGCUAGCCUCGGUGGAGCCAUCAGUGAAAUACCACCCUGUUUAAGUUUUGACUCUAACCCCACACCGUUAGCCGGGUGGGGAACCGUGUCAGGUGGGCAGUUUGACUGGGGCGGUCGCCUCCCAAAGAGUAACGGAGGCGCCCAAAGGUUCCCUCAGGUUGAAUGGAAACCAACCUAAGAGUGUAAAGGCAUAAGGGAGCUUGACUGUGAGGCCAACGCGCCGAGCAGAGACGAAAGUCGGGCUUAGUGAUCCCACGGUUCCGAGUGGAAGGGCCGUGGCUUACCGGAUAAAAGCUACCCCGGGGAUAACAGGCUAGUCACGCCCAAGAGUUCACAUCGACGGCGUGGCUCGGCACCUCGAUGUCGGCUCGUCGCAUCCUGGGGCUGUAUAAGGUCCCAAGGGUUGGGCUGUUCGCCCAUUAAAGCGGCACGCGAGCUGGGUUCAGACCGUCGUGAGACAGGUCGGUCUCUAUCCGCUGUGGGCGUAAGGGAUUUGAGAGAAGCUGCCCCUAGUACGAGAGGACCGGGGUGGACGGACCGCUGGUGUGCCAGUUGUCGUGCCAACGGCAUAGCUGGGUAGCUACGUCCGGCAGAGAUAACCGCUGAAAGCAUCUAAGCGGGAAACUCGUCUCAAGAUGAGAUCCCUCAUCACGCUAAGUGAGUAAGACCGCAGGAAGACCACCUGCUUGAUAGGCAGCAAGUGUAAGCGCAGCAAUGUGUUCAGCUAAGCUGUACUAAUGGUCGAGGGCUUAACUUUG
rnacentral:rRNA from 1 species